GGACCAGCACUCACCAGGUAACCUUGACCUGAAGAGCAAACAUCAAUUACUGGAAUAUGAACAAUUGGAUCGCACAUCAAAGGGGUGAAGGUUGGGAUCUGCUGAGAACCAGGCAUCGGCAAUCUAAGCAAUGGGUCUGGCAGCAAUGCAGGUAACUUUAAUGAGGGAACAUCAGCCAGACUGAGAGGUGGUGCUGGAGUUAACAGACUGGAGGACCUGGCAGCUGACAAUAA
rnacentral:misc_RNA from 1 species